AUUUUCUCCCUCUCAGAGAUAUCCGCCGCCCCAUGCGGCUCAACCUUUGCGAAUAAAAAAAGAGAGAGAAAACUUCAGAACUGUCGCGUCAUAUGAUGCUGCGAUGCGAGCAAGAUGAUUCCCUGGUCCGUUGAAUUAGUAGCUCUCUAGGAUAUUCCUUCAACAGUCAUGUCGCACCCGCAUUAUUGGCUUUAUUUUUUCUAGGAAUCUCAUCUUGAUUAUCCGGUUCCCUCCUUUUUUUUAUUACUAUGGGCUCAUAGAGGUUGCUCGUUUAAGAUGCUUUUGCUAAUGGUUAGGGUUGCCUUCAUUUAAAAUGAAUUAAUAUCUAGGGCUAUAAUAUAUCAUCAUCUAUCAGAUCAGCUGUUUGUGUUAUGUAGUCAGUAAUGACUAAUGAGCUACUGUACCUCUAUAAAAAGAGGUCGCAGUAUGUGAACAGGUACCAAAAUGGUUGAAACAAUCUGUUUAAUUUUUAUUCAAUUGUAUACCUCAUCAGAUUAAUCCCUGUUAUGUAGGCACAAUUAGAUACCUAGAGUUCUGUCUUGCAGGGUAAUCUGAUAUCUCUGAUUGGGAAAGUUCAAUUUUGUCAUAGGAUUCUGCUAUGUGGUUCUAUAUGAAAGCUGCUCAAUAAUAUAGAAAUACGAAUUUAUAAUGCAAGCAUUGGUUGAUCUUUUGUGAAAUAGUAGUUCUGAUCUACAUUCAGUUUAUAGGUUGCGACGACAAAGAACUUCUGAGACUAUAUACUAUGGGCUAUAGAAAGAGUGGACGAUGUAACAAGGUCACAGUUCUCAAAUUGUUGGUGUCAUUAGGACCUAGUUGAGUUGAUGAUCUAUUGUCUAACUGUUCAAGCUCAAGCACAGUUUCCUGUCUUGGAUCACUUCCUUGUGCAUCACUCUGUAAGUCAACACUUGCAGCACUGAGAUUAAUUGUGCUGCUCGGUGCUGAGCUGUAAUAUCCCAUUGCAUGCAGCACAUCCAGCUCCAUGCACUCCUUGAGCUCCACCACAACAUCAGUCAUUGUUGGCCGUUCCCGUGAUGGCCGCUCUUUGCAUUGCAGUGCCAAUUCUGCAACUUUCCAGACAGAGUUGACAUCAUACUCUCCUCCCAUCCUCGGGUCAACAAUGCUCUCAAUGUUGCCCAUUGAGAGCUUCUGGCGUACCCAAAGUGCAAUGUGAAUGCUCUCAGUGCCAGUAACAGGGACUGCUGGUGUCUGGCCUGUGAUGAGCUCCAGUAGCACAACUCCGAAGCUGUACACAUCACUCUUCUCACUAAGCCGGGAUGUGUUAUAAUAUUCAGGGUCCAGGUACCCCAGGGUACCUGCUGGUUGUGUUGUGACGUGGGUCCUGUAAUCGUCGGCAAACACCUUGGCUUACAAACCAUGGGCAGAGUCGAGAGCAAUCUUGAGACGUUGAUGCCAAGUGAGGGGUGUAGCAGCAGAGGCUUCACCUGCGAUUGAUGGUCACAACAAAUUGGUUACAACAAGGUAGAAGCACCAUUAUCACACAGAUUUGCGUUGUUACCAGUCCUAGCAUUGGAGAAACAUUGUCUGAGUAGUGAGUAGGUAAAGUGGAGAGAAAGUAUGUGGUAACUGCAUUUGUUUUGUUCUAGCAGUAGGGUUACUUUAUUUUUCGAGCAUCUAGGAAUCACUGUGUAAUCCUUCAGAAGGAACCCCUUUGGAUUAAAAGUGAGUUCUUAAAAUUAGCUACAUGAUGCAAACCUUAAUACAAGAGAUCCAUUUUGACGUUUUUGUAGUAGAACUGCAGGAACCGGUCCACUGAAUUUGUUGCUUGACAAAUCACUGCAGUAACCCAGUUUGAUAUGUUGAUUGAAUUACCCCUUGAAUUUUUGAUAAAAGUGAUUUCUGUUUAGAAAUGUAGUAAUACUUACAGGAAUGUGAGUGAUGGCAUUUGUGCAAGAAAAUCAGGUAUUGAAGGGAUUUUAGAUCUCUAAAGGAGGCAUCGAUUUGGCCAUUCAACCCACUGGAUGACAAGUGCCUGCAGCAAAUCCAAUAGUUGGUCAAUGUCAAAGGCAUGAAACAUAAUCAAUUUAUUUUUUUAGUUCUCUAGCAUCCAUGACCAGAUGAAGAAUAACUGCAGUUCAAUCCAUCCCAAGCAAAUGCUUUUGGUGCACAAGGAUCACCCAUCCAAUUUUUCUUCAAUCCAUACUUUGUGCGAAUUUCCAUCAUGGCCUUGGCUGUGCGUGAUGUCCAGACCAUUGAAAACUGAGCUUGUUGCAGAUGGAUGCAGGAGGCUGAGAGCAUUUCAAGCAAAGCUAAAGUGCCAAAACAGAUACCAUCUCCAUCAUUUGUCGCAAGUUCAGUCAUUGGCAGCACUGUAUAUAUUUCGAAUGCAUUCAGGAUUGGUGGAAGAGUUGCAUCUGGUGUGGCUACAAGUGAUACAGUAUGCUGGCUUGAUCCCUGCACGGUCCUUUUCACAAGCUUAGCAGAAAGGUAUUUCGGGCUGUACCCCUGGCUGCUGUUCCAUGUAACGUUAUCGACAAGGAUAUCAAAUCGCCUCAGUGCAUUGCUUGGUAACCUCUGUACGUCCGCAAAAUAAAGCAACAGGAGGUAUGACGUGUUGUCAUUGUUUAUGGAGGAAUCCGAGUUCCAUGUGAAGUCGAUCCGGGUUCCAUUCACCGGAGUGGCGGCACUCCACAAUAUCUUCGAUGGUGUAUGGAAGCUGCUGAUGUUGGAGACAUCGACGGCUGUCGAGGAUGUUAUGUUCGUCCAUGCAUCAACGUCACCAUAGGAACUGCCAGAGCCGGUCAUAUGGAUCAAAUGGGUACCUGUUGUUUACAGGAGAUCAAUAUGAACAGAAUUGACAAAAAGAUGCUGGAACUAGGAGGAGGCAACUUUAGAACAUUAGGGAUCUGAAUCUAGAUUAUAACUUUGUUUUACAAUGGAAGAGGAACGAGCUUUCAGUCAGAACUUUUAGAAGAUUUGGUGAGUUUGUUUUUUCCAGAAAGAUUUGCUGAUUAAAAUUUAUUUAUCAGAAUCAAACAAUUAUUCAGGUCCUAUUAGAAUGCACUAAAAAUGGAAGAAUGUUGAAGAA